UACGUAGGGGGCAAGCGUUGUCCGGAUUCAUUGGGUCGUAAAGGGUGCGUAGGCGGCGUGGUAAGUCGGGUGUGAAAUCUUGGAGCUUAACGUCCGAAACCUGCAUUCGAUACUGCCGUGCCUUGAGGACUGGAGAGGAGACUGGAAUUUACGGUGUAGCGGUGAAAUGCGUAGAUAUCAGGAGGAACACCCGAGGCGAAGGCGGCUCUCUGGGUCGUACCUGACGCUGAGGCGCGAAAGCGUGGGGAGCGAACAGG
rnacentral:rRNA from 1 species